GAUUAACGCUGGCGGCGUGCAUAACACAUUCAAGUCGAACGGAGAAGGGUGCUUCGGUACUCUUCUUAGUGGCGGACGGGUGAGUAACGCGUGAGUAAUCUACCUUCCAGUGCGGAAUAACAACCGGAAACAGUUGCUAAUACCGCAUGAAAUGGCAGCAUCGCAUGGUGCAACCAUCAAAGAUUUAUCGCUGGAAGAUGAGCUUGCGUCCGAUUAGAUAGUUGGCGGAGUAACAGCCCACCAAGUCGACGAUCGGUAGCCGGACUGAGAGGUUGAACGGCCACAUUGGAACUGAGAUACGGUCCAGACUCCUACGGGAGGCAGCAGUGGGGAAUAUUGGGCAAUGGGCGAAAGCCUGACCCAGCGACGCCGCGUGAGGGAAGAAGAUCUUCGGAUUGUAAACCUUAGUCAACAGGGAAGAAGAAAGUGACGGUACCUGUGGAGGAAGCCACGGCUAACUACGUGCCAGCCGCCGCUGUAAAAC
rnacentral:rRNA from 1 species